UAACACAUGCAAGUCGAGCGCCCGUAGCAAUACGGGAGCGGCAGACGGGAGAGUAACACGUGGGAACGCGCCCUUCGGUUCGGAAUAACUCAGGGAAACUUGAGCUAAUACCGGAUACGCCCUUACGGGGAAAGAUUUAUUGCCGAAGGAACGGCCCGCGUCCGAUUAGCUAGUUGGUGAGGUAAUGGCUCACCAAGGCGACGAUCGGUAGCUGGUCUGAGAGGAUGACCAGCCUCACUGGGACUGAGACACGGCCCAGACUCCUACGGGAGGCAGCAGUGGGGAAUAUUGGACAAUGGGCGCAAGCCUGAUCCAGCCAUGCCGCGUGGAUGAUGAAGGCCCUAGGGUUGUAAAGUCCUUUUAACGGGGAAGAUAAUGACGGUACCCGUAGAAUAAGCCCCGGCUAACUUCGUGCCAGCAGCCGCGGUAAUACGAAGGGGGCUAGCGUUGCUCGGAAUUACUGGGCGUAAAGCGCACGUAGGCGGCUUUCUAAGUCGGGGGUGAAAUCCUGGAGCUCAACUCCAGAACUGCCUUCGAUACUGGAGAGCUUGAGUCCGGGAGAGGUGAGUGGAACUGCGAGUGUAGAGGUGAAAUUCGUAGAUAUUCGCAAGAACACCAGUGGCGAAGGCGGCUCACUGGCCCGGUACUGACGCUGAGGUGCGAAA
rnacentral:rRNA from 1 species